ACUCUGACCCAGCCAUGCCGCGUGCAGGAAGACUGCCCUAUGGGUUGUAAACUGCUUUUAUACAGGAAGAAACACACCUACGUGUAGGUGCUUGACGGUACUGUAAGAAUAAGCACCGGCUAACUCCGUGCCAGCAGCCGCGGUAAUACGGAGGGUGCAAGCGUUAUCCGGAAUCAUUGGGUUUAAAGGGUCCGCAGGCGGUCAAUUAAGUCAGAGGUGAAAUCCCAUAGCUUAACUAUGGAACUGCCUUUGAUACUGGUUGACUUGAGUUAUACGGAAGUAGAUAGAAUAAGUAGUGUAGCGGUGAAAUGCAUAGAUAUUACUUAGAAUACCGAUUGCGAAGGCAGUCUACUACGUAUAUACUGACGCUCAUG
rnacentral:rRNA from 1 species